UACGAAGGGGGCUAGCGUUGUUCGGAAUCACUGGGCGUAAAGGGCGCGUAGGCGGCUUUAUAAGUCGGGGGUGAAAGCCUGUGGCUCAACCACAGAAUUGCCUUCGAUACUGUAGAGCUUGAGACCGGAAGAGGUAAGUGGAACUGCGAGUGUAGAGGUGAAAUUCGUAGAUAUUCGCAAGAACACCAGUGGCGAAGGCGGCUUACUGGUCCGGUUCUGGCGCUGAGGCGCGAAAGCGUGGGGAGCAAACAGG
rnacentral:rRNA from 1 species